rnacentral:rRNA from 1 species
GACGAACGCUGGCGGCGUGCCUAAUACAUGCAAGUGGGACGCAAGGAAACACACUGUGCUUGCACACCGUGUUUUCUUGAGUCGCGAACGGGUGAGUAACGCGUAGGUAACCUGCCUAUUAGCGGGGGAUAACUAUUGGAAACGAUAGCUAAUACCUCAUAAUAUUAAUUAUUGCAUGAUAAUUGAUUGAAAGAUGCAAGCGCAUCACUAGUAGAUGGACCUGCGUUGUAUUAGCUAGUUGGUAAGGUAAGAGCUUACCAAGGCGACGAUACAUAGCCGACCUGAGAGGGUGAUCGGCCACACUGGGACUGAGACACGGCCCAGACUCCUACGGGAGGCAGCAGUAGGGAAUCUUCGGCAAUGGACGAAAGUCUGACCGAGCAACGCCGCGUGAGUGAAGAAGGUUUUCGGAUCGUAAAGCUCUGUUGUAAGUCAAGAACGUGUGUGAGAGUGGAAAGUUCACACAGUGACGGUAGCUUACCAGAAAGGGACGGCUAACUACGUG